UACGUAGGGUGCGAGCGUUAAUCCGGAAUUACUGGGCGUAAAGCGUGCGCAGGCGGCUUUGCAAGACAGAUGUGAAAUCCCCCGGGCUUAACCUGGGAACUGCAUUUGUGACUGCAUGGCUGGAGUGCGGCAGAGGGGGAUGGAAUUCCGCGUGUAGCAGUGAAAUGCGUAGAUAUGCGGAGGAACACCGAUGGCGAAGGCAAUCCCCUGGGCCUGCACUGACGCUCAU
rnacentral:rRNA from 1 species